rnacentral:rRNA from 1 species
UACGGGGGGGGCAAGCGUUGUUCGGAAUUACUGGGCGUAAAGGGUUCGUAGGUGGCCAACUAAGUCAGACGUGAAAUCCCUCAGCUCAACUGGGGAACUGCGUCUGAUACUGGUCGGCUUGAGUGCAGGAGAGGAACGCGGAAUUCCAGGUGUAGCGGUGAAAUGCGUAGAUAUCUGGAGGAACACCGGUGGCGAAGGCGACACGCUGGGCCGUACCUGACACUGAUACGCGACAGCAUGGGGAGCAAACAGG